rnacentral:rRNA from 1 species
UGAGGAAUUUUGGACAAUGAGCGCAAGCUUGAUCCAGCAAUGUUACGUGAGUGAAGAAAGUUAUGUGAAUUGUAAAACUCUAAGUUUGAAGAAGAUAAUGACGGUAUUCAAAUGAAUAAUCCCGACUAACUUCGUGCCAGCAGUCGCGGUAAUACGAAGGGGAUAAGCGUUACUCAGCAUUAUUGGGCGUAAAGGGUGCGUAGGUGGUUUAAUAAGUUAAUACGAAAAUCCAAGACAUUUAAUUUUUGUAAAGUGAUUAAUACUGUUAAACUAGAGUGUAAAAGAGGAUAGUAGUAUUCUUAGUGUAGAGGUAAAAUUCGUAAAUAUUAAGAGGACUAUCAAUAGGCGAAGGCAACUAUCUGGUUUAUUCUGACGCUGAGGCACGAAAGCAUGGGGAGCA